rnacentral:rRNA from 1 species
UACGGGAGGCAGCAGUGGGGAAUAUUGCACAAUGGGGGCAACCCUGAUGCAGCCAUGCCGCGUGUGUGAAGAAGGCCUUCGGGUUGUAAAGCACUUUCAGUCGUGAGGAAAGGUUAGUAGUUAAUACCUGCUAGCUGUGACGUUAACAACAGAAGAAGCACCGGCUAACUCCGUGCCAGCAGCCGCGGUAAUACGGAGGGUGCGAGCGUUAAUCGGAAUUACUGGGCGUAAAGCGCACGCAGGCGGUUUGUUAAGUUAGAUGUGAAAGCCCCGGGCUCAACCUGGGAAGGUCACUUAAAACUGGCAGUCUAGAAUCUGGGAGAGGGGAGUGGAAUUUCAGGUGUAGCGGUGAAAUGUGUAGAUAUAUGGAGGAACAUCAGUGGCGAAGGCGACUCCCUGGCCAAAGAUUGACGCUCAUGUGCGAAAGUGUGGGGAGCGAACAGGAUUAGAUACCCUGGUAGUCCACACCGUAAACGCUGUCUACUAGC